GAGAGGAGGCAAGGGAGUCGGCGGUGUCGGCAGCGAGGGCUAAGCUCGCUAAGGCCGCCUAUAACGGCCCCACCUCGUGUGGUGGCUCGAGCGGAGCGAGCCUAGGUAGGAAGGGAGGCCGUUCUAAAGGGGGAUAGCUGGAGUUGACGAACGGGUUUUGGUGAAGGGCACGAUCCCAAAGAAGCCGUAGGCCGUAGCGGAAGUAGCAGCCGGGAAGAUGCCGGCGGAUACCGCGGAGAAGAGGCAGCAGAUGUCGCGGGGGUGCGCGCGGGAGCGAAGGACUACCAGGUGGAGCUCGUCCCGUCGUGCCUCCUGGAGUAGGGCAUCCUAGGUACCUGCGCCGCGUGGGACAUCGGCGGGCAGGCCCUACUCCCACCCGUGGCACCGAACAGGACGAGCUGCUGUCGACGCCGCUCACGCACACGACGAGGAGUAGGAGUUUGAGGUUCCUCUUCGCGGUCAUGUUGUAUUCGUGCGGGGCGGGGACUUGUUACCGGUACCGCGAUCCAUUC
rnacentral:rRNA from 1 species